rnacentral:rRNA from 1 species
UACGUAGGGUGCGAGCGUUAAUCGGAAUUACUGGGCGUAAAGCGUGCGCAGGCGGUUUUGUAAGCCAGAUGUGAAAUCCCCGGGCUUAACCUGGGAACUGCGUCUGAUACUGGAAGGCUUGAGUAUGGGAGAGGGAUGUAGAAUUCCAGGUGUAGCGGUGAAAUGCGUAGAUAUCUGGAGGAAUACCGGUGGCGAAGGCGGCAUCCUGGACCAUUACUGACGCUGAGGCGCGAAAGCUAGGGGAGCAAACGGG